GCACAAAUAUAUUGUAAAUAAGAUUUUUUUGACAGAUUUUGAUCUUAAAAAUUGCUGCUGCUGCUGCUGCUGCUGCUGCUGCUGCUGCUGCUGCUGCUGCUGCUGCUGCUGCUGCUGCUGCUGCUGCUGCUGCUGCUGCUGCUGCUGCUGCUGCUGCUGCUGCUGC